rnacentral:misc_RNA from 1 species
AAGUCGUAACAAGGUCUCCGUAGGUGAACCUGCGGAGGGAUCAUUAACAAAUUUCAUUUUUCAAACGCGGACCAAUGGGCUCUAAGCCUAUAAAACAAAAUACAACUUUCAGCAACGGAUCUCUUGCCUCUC